GGAAAAUACAACUUUUAGAAUGUACCUGAAAGCUGCACCAACAUAUUGUGAACUAGAGUGAGUCCUCUCUCUCAUAAAAUGAGAUCCUGGACCAUAAGUUAUGGUACUCAGCUGUCAAAAUGUAAAUUUAGUGGCAGAAAAUCUUUUUGUUUUCUUUUCUUAGCAUGUGUUUAACAUAUUUCAGCCUCCUUCACAUAAGUGAGAUAGUUUCGGAUUGACAAAGGCAGGA
rnacentral:misc_RNA from 1 species